rnacentral:rRNA from 1 species
GACAGAGGGUGCAAACGUUGUUCGGAAUUACUGGGCGUAAAGCGCGUGUAGGCGGCCCUGCAAGUCGGGUGGGAAAUCCCACGGCUCAACCGUGGAAGUGCACUCGAAACUGCAAGGCUAGAGUCCUGGAGAGGAAGGUGGAAUGCUUGGUGUAGAGGUGAAAUUCGUAGAUAUCAAGCGGAACACCGAUGGCGAAGGCAGUUCUCUGGGCCGUAACUGACGCUGAGGAGCGAAAGCGUGGGGAGCGAACAGG